AACGAACGCUGGCGGCAGGCUUAACACAUGCAAGUCGAGCGGAGUGAUGGUGCUUGCACUAUCACUUAGCGGCGGACGGGUGAGUAAUGCUUAGGAAUCUGCCUAUUAGUGGGGGACAACAUCUCGAAAGGGAUGCUAAUACCGCAUACGUCCUACGGGAGAAAGCAGGGGAUCACUUGUGACCUUGCGCUAAUAGAUGAGCCUAAGUCGGAUUAGCUAGUUGGUGGGGUAAAGGCCUACCAAGGCGACGAUCUGUAGCGGGUCUGAGAGGAUGAUCCGCCACACUGGGACUGAGACACGGCCCAGACUCCUACGGGAGGCAGCAGUGGGGAAUAUUGGACAAUGGGGGGAACCCUGAUCCAGCCAUGCCGCGUGUGUGAAGAAGGCCUUAUGGUUGUAAAGCACUUUAAGCGAGGAGGAGGCUCUUUUGGUUAAUACCCAAGAUGAGUGGACGUUACUCGCAGAAUAAGCACCGGCUAACUCUGUGCCAGCCGCCGCCGUAAAAC
rnacentral:rRNA from 1 species